CAGCAGCCACGGGAAAACGGAGGGAGCUAGCGUUGUUCGGAAUUACUGGGCGUAAAGCGCACGUAGGCGGCUUUGUAAGUUAGAGGUGAAAGCCUGGAGCUCAACUCCAGAAUUGCCUUUAAGACUGCAUCGCUUGAAUCCAGGAGAGGUGAGUGGAAUUCCGAGUGUAGAGGUGAAAUUCGUAGAUAUUCGGAAGAACACCAGUGGCGAAGGCGGCUCACUGGACUGGUAUUGACGCUGAGGUGCGAAAGCGUGGGGAGCAAACAGGAUUAGAUACCCGCGUAGUCCCUGUCUCUUAUAC
rnacentral:rRNA from 1 species